UCAAUGUGAUGAAAGCAAUGAAAGAAGAAAAGGCAGCAAUGAAGGCACUAUUUGUUGCGGACUGUUCUUUUUUUUUGCCUUCUGCCAAUCAGCUGUUAGAUGGGAUGACACCUGAAAUUAGUGAAGAAGGAAGCAAUUGCAAAAUGGCAGAAGUUGAUGUUUAUAAAUUCUUUCUCGAUUUCUUGCAGGAUUCCAAUGCUUUCCAAGUAAAAGAGGCAAUUGACUCUGCACUUAUCGAAGGAAAGGGAUUUGGCUUCAUUUAAAAAUGAUAAUUGUAUUUUAUCAUUUACAGGGGAAUAGCAAUCAACGGGAGUGUUAACCGUAAAAAAAUUCAUAAUUUUUAAUGGUAA